rnacentral:lncRNA from 13 species
CGCUCGGCUCUGACGCUCACACACACACCGGCUCCGCGGUCAGCGCACUGCGACCCAGAAGCAUCUGAAACCCGUUCGCCGCCGCCCGGGGGGUUUUACACCAACCGGAACUGACUUCACAAAACCAUGCCCUCCUUCUGCGGCUUCCAAUGCCAGCCCGCAGAAGCCCUCAAGACCCCGCCUUCCGUGCAGUCCAGACCCAAUCAGGGAAUGGAAGCGCCUGCUCCUCCCGCCCGGUCCUGCCGCGCGCCCCCGCCCGGCCCCGCCCCCGGCCACGGAAUGCCCCGCCCCCACUCUGGACCCAGUGGCUGCCGGGCGCGGGGGCGUGCGCGCGGUGGGUCCGGAGCCGCAGCUCUGCGGGCGCCGGGCUUCUCCGGCCUCCGCCACCCGGCGCGGUUCUGUGUCCCCGCCGCGCUCGUCCAUUAGCCUGCCGCCUCCCGAUACCGAUGAGUUGCAGAUGAGGCAAGGCACUGAUCACUACGUGGUGACUAACACCACCAUCACGCCUUCAGAUACUGCUAAUUUUGGAAUACCCAGAUUUGCUUCACAUCUUUUCAGAAAACCAGGGUUGUUGUCACCUGCGCUUGCUGGUAUUCUCACACUAAAUUACGUGGUCAAGAUGGAGUCUCACUCUGUCGCCCAUGCUGGAGUGCUGGCAAUCUCGGCUCAUUGCAACCUCUGCCUCCCGGGUUCAAGCAAUUCUUCUGCCUCAGCCUCCCAAGUAGCUGGGAUUACAGGUGUGUGCCACCACGCCCAGCUAAUGUUUUGUAUUUUUUAGUAGAGAUGGAGUUUCACUGUGUUAGCCAAGAUGGUCUCAAUCUCCUGACCUUGUGAUCCACCUGCCUUGGCCUCCCACAGUGCUGGGAUUACAGGUUUGAGCCACCAUGCCUGGCCUAGUGAUACGUAUUUAUAUCUGCUUGUGUAUAAAUAAAAAUAAUCUCUGGAAGUACA